UAUAUCCUCAGCCCCCUUCUUGCCAUGUUUUGAAGCAGUUCUGGAAGUCCUCUUUCAUGAGUAUCUGCACUGUCAUGGUUGUAAUAUUCUGAACUGAUUCAAAACUCUAAAACUGAAUCUUAGAGGCUACAGAAGACAAGUCCAAAGAGUAGAAAGUGUGCAGUCAUUUCUACCCACAAGGAGGAUAAUGCUGGGGGUAGCAGCUUUAACAUAGUGCCAGGUGGGAGAGGUUGAGGAGAGUGUGGCAGGGCAUACUCCUGUGUGGGCACUCAGAGAACUGGGGGCAGAAGAGAGGAUAGAUAGGUAGCAUAGUAGGUGGAAGGAAAGAAGGGGAUGAAGAACAUUUAACAUUGCUGAGAAGCAUCAGUAGAAAGGUAAAGGUCACAAGUGCAAACAAAGAGGGAACAAGUCCGACGUUACAUGGAGACCCACACUUGUUAUGAGCUGCUGUUGUGCACAUGGCCUCCUUCCAUUCUCCAGGCACUGCUCAUCCCCCGCUUUGCCCCGUUUUGCUCUUAUCUACCAGCUGACACGAGUGUGUGCUUUCUUCACUAAAUGCCUAUAGUUUUAAAAGUUACCCAUGCAACUCCAAUGAGCGUUUAGGUUUAGAAACUGGUAGAGACUGGCCUGAUGUCUUGCACACUCCCUCUUUUGAAAUAAGUCCACAGUGCCUACAGUGGGCCCCAUUUCACAAAUCCUUACUCUCAUCUUCAGGCCUAUGGAGCUAUGCAGCAGCAGGGACAGGCACCCAACUCCACCUGAGUCAUCUCUUGUGCUCACACAAUCACCCCAAAUAUCUUACUGAGCCUUUGUGUCCACUAAGCCAAGAUGAGAAGUUGCUGCUCAUAGCGGAAAGAGACUUUCUUUCACAGUCUUGUUUCAGUAAUAAUCUAUCAUUCGUAAAACAUUAUUAAUGGGUUCAGAUACUGCGUCCAGGGCUUGCACACAGUAGUAUUCUCACAAAAUAAUAAUUUCCCUUAGUUUCAUUGACAUCAUGUUUCCUUGGUGCUCAUCUCUAAGCCAUUUCUCUGCCAGCAUUUAGGACACCCUCUACCAUUUGCUUUUGGUAUCCUGGUGUAUUUCUUACCAGUUUACUUUUAUGCUUUUAAAAAAUAUAUUUGAAAAUAUACUGUGUGCUCUUUUUUUUCACUUGUUAUGUUAAUGUAAGCAGUUUCCUGUUAAAGUUAUUCACUGCAUUUUUUUUUUUCCAGUACCAGGGAUCAAACUCACAACCUCACACUUGCCAGGCAGGCACUGUACCGCUGAGCUAAAUCCCCAGCCCUCACUGUGAUUUUUGAUAACUGCUAGGUAGUCCCUCUCUCAGGGGUUCCAAGCUUUACUUGGCCAUUUCCCCACAGUUAGACAUGUAGGUGCUCACGUGUUUACACAUAAGUCUUUGUUCACAUGUCUGAUUAUAUUCUGUCACUAGAAUAUAAUUUUAUAAGAGGGAUUGCAGUGGCAAACACCUUUAAAUGAAUAGGAAAGCUGCUCACAUUAAGAAUUAAAAGUGAUAUGCUUUUUUCAUAAAAAGGUGCUAACCUUUUAAGUCCUGUUGAUAUCAUUAUAAAAAAGAAUGACUUUAUGAAUCCUAUUCUGUUUUUAUAUUUUGAGAAUAACAUUGUCUCUUUCAUCUUAAAAGUUAACCUUGUGAUUGUUCAUAGUGUUUGUUGCGCAUGGUCCAAAAAGAACUACAUAGACUUGAUCCCUGUGUUCUAAAGUUCAUGUCUGAGGACACAGUGAGACAGUGAGAUCCACUAAGGGCCGUGCUGCUCAUUCUCCUUGAGGAUCUGUGUUGUAAUCUAUUUCCUCCCCUGUUCCAGAGCAUAACCAGUGACGCUGUCAGAAAGGCACCGUUACCAUCCGCUGUUUACCAGUGACGCUGUCAGAAAGGCACCGUUGCCAUCCGCUGUUUACCUGUCUAACUUCUUUUUCCCAUUUCCCUCUUGACUCACCCUUGCCACAUCACUUUGCUGUUUUUUCGCGCUGCCGCAGGCCCCAGAGUAAUGCUGUGUACAAUCAGCAAGGGUAAUAGGCGACACUGGUUUGAAGAGCUUACUGGAGCUAUCGUAGCUGGUCAGCCUGGAGAUGUGCUUGGAAACUACAGGCCCUGCCCACAGCUGUGUCAGACCCCAGGACACCAUCUGCUGUCUGCCUGUCACUGGAAUCCCCAGGUACUGCGCUCCUCUAGCUGGGUCUCCUCCUGUCACCCUGUGCUACAGCUGUCCCAUGAGUGCCUGCCCUACUUGGCUCUGAAAAACAGCCCAGCAAGAAUUCAGAAACAAGCCCAUCCUUGUAGGCCUUAUGCCUGCUAAGACAAAGGUAACAUUAAUGAUAACAAACACUGUUUACUAUUAUUCACUUAAUUGUUGGCCUUUACACUCUCAACCACGGCACAAGUCAUGCUCUAAUUUACUCUUUGAUGAGCUCUGACAGCUCAUGUAGACAAACAUAUGGAACAUGUUAUCAUCAACAUAAAAAGGAAUAUCCAGUCUGUUCCACACAGCCUAACAGAGAAGUCAGAACUCCUCCUGUGGAGUAUCCCAUACAUUUGUUUAGUUUUUGUUCUUCCCAAGUCCGAUCUUAAUUUGUUUUAUUGCUAUUCAGCCACUGGAAGAGGAGAAGUAAAUUUGAGAGAUUCUUAACAGAUUUUUUCCCCCGUAUGUUAGCUUCAUAGCUUAAUAUGAUCUGGAAAGAGGUUGUUUUGAUUAUUUUCAGACUGCAGUCAUUUGUACUAUCUCUCUUACAGUGAGCUACCUGAGAGUUAGUUAUCAUCAAAUAUCCAUCUGCCCAGGGUAAAUUACAAGUUAUACCAGGUGUCUGGUGAACAAUACUAAUGCAACAAAUGUAUUUUACUCUUUCAUCUUAAGGCAAUCAGCUAGUAAAAUAAAAAUUAUGGAUUUUUAUUUAUAAUUUUGGUUUUUAAGGCUGAUGUACUAUUUAUAUUAGAUUUAAACUUUUAAAAUUUAUUUUUCCAUUCGAAUUUCCUGUGCAUGAAUCACAUAAUCAUCUCCUUUGCCCAUCUAUGCACUGGGGGUAUUGAUGGUGUUUAUAUGCACAUUCGAUUACAUUUUCAUAUCCUUAGAGAUAACUGUUUUCCACAUACCAUGACUUUUACAAUUUUUAUUGUUAGUUAUUUUUAAUUGCUUAGAAUUUAAAAAUUUAUGUAACUGUAUCAUACUGUUUUGCUUUACUUUGAAUUUCUCAUUUUGCUCCAAUUGUAGGAAAAUCACCACUUUAAAGUGAGACCAAGAGCCCCAUUUUUCCUUUCACAUUCCAUUUCCCACCACCCCCAAGAACUUACUCUGAUAUUCUCUGAACCCCAAAGCCCAAACCCCAUUCACUCUUCAGGACAUUAUUUUCACAAAGGGUACACACUUGUGUUAUGACUUCAGUGAGGCAGUUUAUUGUCCACAUGUUGAUCCUGUAGUUAUAACUAUUGCUUUUGUCUUCUGUGGUUCAAAGGGUCUAUGGUUUACAACCGUUCAACUCCAAAUUCACUCAUUCAUUUAUCAUUUUACUCACAUAUUGCUUAUUCAUUCAGUGACCUCCAAUGAUCCCUGCUUCUUGGUGCUCACCCUUGGGUAUGGGCAGGAGCUUGUGGUUUGCUUCUAACCCAUAAGAUGAUGGUAAGAGUGAUGGGGUGACUUUCCUGUGUUUGUUCUACAUAAUAGAAGACUGCUUUGCUAGCAAACCCACCCUAGAGACCCCUUGUUCACUUGAAGUAAAUGGCCCCAUUGUGGAAGCCCACACAGCUGACUUCAGCCAGGAACCAGAAAGAAGGCUGGAUCCCUGGUUCUUACAGCCACAGGAAAUGGGUUUUGCUGAGAACUUGAGUGAGCCUGGAAGAGAUUCCCCCCCCAGUCAAGCCUCCAGAUGUUAAUUAUUUAUACUGAAUGAUUGAGGAUUUUGGAGUCAGAGACUCACCUGCGAUAUUUGGAAUACCAGUGGAGAUCUACAUCAACACCCAAUUUAUACAGCAGCUGGUGCUAGUCAAAGCUAAUGAUGAAAUUUCAGUUUAAUAAAAAGACCCCCAACUGAGCACACCAUCUUGAAAAAAGUACACUUAUCAAACAGCUUUCAAUCAGUUGAAGAGGACACCUUAAUUGGGAAGAUAAAGAAUUGUAGAGGGGUUUGUCAUCAUGCCAAUUCUAGAUCAAUAACUGCAUGUCUGCUCUUCGGUAGGCAUAGCUUUUGCUUUCUGUUAAGUAACCACAUCUACACACUCUGCAUUUGGAGGAGAGCUUUGUUUCGUAUGACAGUGUGUAAUGAUGUCCUCUUUUAAUUCACCUCUGUGCCUUGAUAUCAAACAUGAAAUUUGAGAUGUGAUUAUAAAGGUCAAUAUGAUUUUUAUUUUUAAUUGAAUUCUUCAUUUCUUGUAACUGAAGCAUAGUAGUUGUGCAAUAUUUACAUGCUCAGAAAUUGUUUUGUUGAAAUAAAACUAUAUGAGCAAAAUUAAA